rnacentral:pre_miRNA from 1 species
AGCUUUCGGGUCCUUUCGCGACCCGUCUUUAGCGGUGAAAUUAUUUAUUUAUAAUUUCACCGCUGAAGACGGGUCGCGAAAGGACCCGAAAG